GAAAACUUUUUGACUCUGCCAGAGGACUUUCUGAAUCUUCAGGAGCUGGGAAGAAUGAAGAAAGGAAGGUUCUGUGAAAGUCCUGAUCCUUGGAAAUAUAGCCUGCUCUCCUCCAAAGAACAUAGAUCUAGUGCUGCAAGGGAGCUCAGAAGUCACCUCGUCCAAAUUAACUCAUUUUACAGAUGACACAACUGAGGGCCGGGGAGGUUGGGUGACAUAUCUGAGGUCACUCAGCUAAUAUCAGAGGUGAGAUUUCAACCUUUGUCCUCUGACUGCAGUCAGUACCUUUUUAUCACACCAUAUAUCAACCUUAAUAAUUAUAACCUUGUUGAUGAUA
rnacentral:lncRNA from 1 species